rnacentral:rRNA from 1 species
UGAGGAAUAUUGGUCAAUGGAGGCAACUCUGAACCAGCCAAGUCGCGUGAAGGAUGAAGGUCUUAUGGAUUGUAAACUUCUUUUGCAAGGGAAUAAAGUGGGGGACGUGUCCUCCUUUGCAUGUACCUUGCGAAUAAGGAUCGGCUAACUCCGUG